rnacentral:rRNA from 1 species
UACGUAGGUGGCGAGCGUUGUCCGGAUUUACUGGGCGUAAAGGGAGCGUAGGCGGACUUUUAAGUGAGAUGUGAAAUACUCGGGCUCAGCUUGAGUGCUGCAUUUCAAACUGGAAGUCUAGAGUGCAGGAGAGGAGAAUGGAAUUCCUAGUGUAGCGGUGAAAUGCGUAGAGAUUAGGAAGAACACCAGUGGCGAAGGCGAUUCUCUGGACUGUGACUGACGCUGAGGCUCGAAAGCGUGGGGAGCAAACAGG